CAACAUGGUGAAACUCCGUCUUUACUAAAAAUACAAAAAUUAGCUGGGCUUGGUGGCAGGCAACUGUAAUCCCAGUUACUCGGGAGGCUGAGGCAGGAGAAUUGCUUGAACCUGGGAGGCAGAGGUUGCAGUGAGACAAGUUCGGGCCAUUGUGCUCCAGCCUGGGCAACAAGAGCAAAACUAAAAAUAAAAAAUAAAAAAAGAAUAGUAAUAGUUUUGCUUAAAGGGUGAGGACAGUGACAAAUGGUGAUCCUCAGAUGACUGUAGUUUCUUUACCAUUACAGAAUGCAAUUCAAAUGAAAACCAUUGCAUGGUACUCAGGCAUUUCUUCAAUGCAGUGUGUGCCCACAUCACCAGGAAGCUUACUUGGGAAAGUUUGUUUUGGGAUUCUGGAGUACCUCAAUAUAUCUGGUAUAUUUUCCCAAGAAAAGUGAAUAAUCUUGGGGGGCCGAGGUGGACAGAUUGCUUGAGCCCAGGAGUUUGACACCAGCCUGGGCAAUGUGGUGAAACCCCACCUCUACAAAAAAUACAAAAACUUAGUUGCGUGUUGUGGCACGCACCUGUGGUCCUGGCUGCUGGGGAGGCUGAGGUGGGAGGAUGGCUUGAGCCUGGGAGGUUGAGGCUGCAGUGAGCCAUGAUCAUGCCACUGCACUCCAGCCUGGGUGACAGAGCAAGACACUGUCUCAGAAAACAAAGGCAAACAAACAAAGAUCACCCCAAAGAAGAACUCCCAACAUAUUAAAAGUCAUUGAGUUUUGUACCCUUCAAAUGGAUGAAUUGUGUUGUGUAUGAAUUACAUCUGAAUAAAACUGUUUAAAAAUAUUAA
rnacentral:lncRNA from 1 species